CGGGGUAUAGCUUAGAUGGACGAAAGCAGCGGACUUUGAAUCCGUGACCGUGGGUUCGAAUCCCGCUACCCCUGCCA
rnacentral:tRNA from 7 species